UGAGCUGGUCGCAAGACCCAGGUUCAACCUAACAGGCGUGGGAGACUCCC
rnacentral:ncRNA from 1 species